rnacentral:rRNA from 1 species
UGGUGGAGUGAUUUGUAAGUUUCCUUCCGUUCCACUACAGUGUGGUUCGCGGACUUUUAGUGGUUUGUAUGCUAACAUUACCUUUCCAGGUCUGCCUAAUCGCGAUAACGAACGAGACCUUAACCUGCUAAAUAGCCCGUAUUGCUUUGGCAGCACGCUGGCUUCUUAGAGGGACUAUCGGCUCAAGCCGAUGGAAGUUUGAGGCAAUAACA